CAAGAGCAUACUACGUUGCGAGCAAUACCAACUCAGAGUGCCCUGAGGAGGUCGAGGCGUUGUCGCAAACUCAGAGAGCAUAACCUUACGCUGUCGUGUGUGGUGUUGCGGUGGAUGGACUCCGUUGCGCGCCGUGGGUUGCUUUGGCUAUUGGGGAUGCGAGGCAGCAGCAUCAACAAGAGGCAAGUGGAGUUAGACGUGGCUUGGAGGUGGAUAAGGAACCUUGGAGGAGUAGCUUUGAGUUAUUGCCUGGACACAAUCAGAAAUACUCCCUCCAGUCUCUUUUAAUUGACUCGGAUUUAGAACAACUUUGUACUAAAUUUGAGUCAAUUAAAAAUGACCCGAGGGAGUACAUAAGAAGCUGGUAUAGUAAUCGGCUUUUACUUCUUGGUUCUUUUCCACACGAUAAUUAUACAAUCCCUGGUCCUUUCACACUACAUGACAUGAAGGUACCAGCUUAGGUGAGGUCAUCUAGUAAGAAAUGAUGGUAGCAUAUUCAUCGUUAGUCUUGCAUCUUAGCGAACAUCCCAUUCGAAGAAAAAAUCUUUAUAUUUUUCAUACUCUGAAAUAGAUAAGCACAAGUAUUGCAAUUCAAUG